rnacentral:rRNA from 1 species
UAAGUGAAGAGUUUGAUCCUGGCUCAGAGUGAACGCUGGCGGUAGGCCUAACACAUGCAAGUCGAACGGCAGCACAGGAGAGCUUGCUCUCUGGGUGGCGAGUGGCGGACGGGUGAGGAAUACAUCGGAAUCUACUCUGUCGUGGGGGAUAACGUAGGGAAACUUACGCUAAUACCGCAUACGACCUACGGGUGAAAGCAGGGGACCUUCGGGCCUUGCGCGAUUGAAUGAGCCGAUGUCGGAUUAGCUAGUUGGCGGGGUAAAGGCCCACCAAGGCGACGAUCCGUAGC